CCCUUAGAUGUUCUGGGCCGCACGCGCGCUACACUGAUGCAUUCAACGAGUCUAAAACCUGGUCUGAUAGGGCUGGGUAAUCUUUUGAAAGUGCAUCGUGAUUGGGAUAGAUGAUUGCAAUUCUUCAUCUUCAACGAGGAAUGCCUAGUAAACGCAAGUCAUCAGCCUGCAUUGAUUACGUCCCUGCCCUUUGUACACACCGCCCGUCGCUCCUACCGAUUGAAUGAUCCGAUGAAUACCAUGGAUUGAGAGUACGAAUGGGUUCGCUCAUUUCUGCUGCUCGAGAAGUGGAGUAAAUCUUAUCAUUUAGAGGAAGGAGAAGUCGUAACA
rnacentral:rRNA from 1 species